rnacentral:lncRNA from 1 species
AUAAUCACAUGUCAAAUCAUGCAUCCAAGCAUGAACAAUAUUAAAAACAAAUACCAAAAACCAUAUGCCAUUUUCAAGCAAUUUCAAGUAUAUCAAAGCAUAAACCAUUCAUUACAUAUCACCAUGGCCAAAUGUUAUACCAUCGACAAUAUGAAAAUUCCAAUUAGUCCUAACAUCCAUCACAAUGAAGACCAUAACAUGAACUUACACCAA